rnacentral:pre_miRNA from 13 species
GACACGACAGACAGACAGACAGUGCAGUCAUCCAUAAAGUAGAAAGCACUACUAACAGCGCUGUAGGGUGUAGUGUUUCCUACUUUAUGGAUGAGUGUACUGUGGGCUUCGGAGAACUCUCCA